UGCAGUCGAACGAUGAAGCCCGGGCUUGCCCGGGUGGAAGAGUGGCGAACGGGUGAGUAACACGUGAGUAACCUGCCCCGAACUCUGGGAUAAGCGCUGGAAACGGCGUCUAAUACUGGAUACGCGCACUGGUCGCAUGGCCUGGUGCGGGAAAGAUUUAUCGGUUCGGGAUGGACUCGCGGCCUAUCAGCUUGUUGGUGAGGUAAUGGCUCACCAAGGCGACGACGGGUAGCCGGCCUGAGAGGGUGACCGGCCACACUGGGACUGAGACACGGCCCAGACUCCUACGGGAGGCAGCAGUGGGGAAUAUUGCACAAUGGGCGCAAGCCUGAUGCAGCAACGCCGCGUGAGGGAUGACGGCCUUCGGGUUGUAAACCUCUUUUAGUAGGGAAGAAGCGAAAGUGACGGUACCUGCAGAAAAAGCACCGGCUAACUACGUGCCAGCAGCCGCGGUAAUACGUAGGGUGCAAGCGUUGUCCGGAAUUAUUGGGCGUAAAGAGCUCGUAGGCGGCUUGUCGCGUCUGCUGUGAAAACCCGGAGCUCAACUCCGGGCCUGCAGUGGGUACGGGCAGGCUAGAGUGCGGUAGGGGAGAUUGGAAUUCCUGGUGUAGCGGUGGAAUGCGCAGAUAUCAGGAGGAACACCGAUGGCGAAGGCAGAUCUCUGGGCCGUAACUGACGCUGAGGAGCGAAAGCAUGGGGAGCGAACAGGAUUAGAUACCCUGGUAGUCCAUGCCGUAAACGUUGGGAACUAGAUGUAGGGCCUGUUCCACGGGUUCUGUGUCGUAGCUAACGCAUUAAGUUCCCCGCCUGGGGAGUACGGCCGCAAGGCUAAAACUCAAAGGAAUUGACGGGGGCCCGCACAAGCGGCGGAGCAUGCGGAUUAAUUCGAUGCAACGCGAAGAACCUUACCAAGGCUUGACAUAUACGAGAACGGGCCAGAAAUGGUCAACUCUUUGGACACUCGUAUACAGGUGGUGCAUG
rnacentral:rRNA from 1 species